AUUGAACGCUGGCGGCAUGCCUUACACAUGCAAGUCGAACGGCAGCACGGGUGCUUGCACCUGGUGGCGGGUGGCGAACGGGUGAGUAAUAUAUCGGAACGUAUCCAAUAAUGGGGGAUAACUAGCCGAAAGGUUAGCUAAUACCGCAUACGCCCUGAGGGGGAAAGCUGGGGAUCGUAAGACCUAGCGUUGAUGGAGCGGCCGAUAUCUGAUUAGCUAGUUGGUGGGGUAAGAGCCUACCAAGGCGACGAUCAGUAGCUGGUCUGAGAGGACGACCAGCCAAACUGGAACUGAGACACGGUCCAGACUCCUACGGGAGGCAGCAGUGGGGAAUUUUGGACAAUGGGGGCAACCCUGAUCCAGCCAUUCCGCGUGAGUGAAGAAGGCCUUCGGGUUGUAAAGCUCUUUCGCAAGGGAAGAAAACUCGAUCUCUAAUAUAGGUUGAGGCUGACGGUACCUUGAUAAGAAGCACCGGCUAACUACGUGCCAGCCGCCGCCGUAA
rnacentral:rRNA from 1 species